GUCCUCCGCGCUUGCCACAAAAUAGUCCCGUGCCCUUCCGAAAGUAAUCCCGCGUUGCUCGCGAGAUUUCACCCCCCUCCCUCCUGCCAUUUCCUUUAACGGUUUCCUCGGGGGGUGGCUUGGAAGGGCAAGCCAGGUCACACAGCUAAACCAGACACUUCACAACUUUGGUACUACCUUUGACUCCCAGCAACAGAAACUAAUUCAAGAGAUGCAAACAUGGAUUGUGUGAAAAUGGACACAACUGUGGAAGGAGAUCAUGGUGCAGGGGAAUGACAGUCGGAGAUUUGACAAUGAGAUGCAGUACCCGAAGAGAUGGAACCAUUUAUUAGGACAUGCCAGCUCCUAAUCCUAACGAUGGAAUCAAACCCGGGAUCCUGGUGCUGUUAGACAGCAGUGCUAACCACUGAGCCACUGUGCCUCUUGUUCUGCCAGAGGAAGCAAUGUUCAAAUUUACCAAACCAACAAAGAAUCAUGUUGGACCACACUUACUGACGUACUUUCCUCUUUUGUAGAGCCAGGUGACACCUAACCAGAGCGGGCCACAACAGACGCGUGUCCUCUUGUCAAUUGAGAAGAUGGUUCUGGCCAUCGUUGGAACGGUCACAAGUGGGACUGUGAUUAGGUGCAGAGCUGAAACCACUGAAGAUGAUGGCAUCACCCUACCUAAUUCAUUUUCUCACAUCCCCCUUAUCCCCGCCACCCCCACCCCCCCAACCCUGUCCCACACACGCUCCUCAGACUUGCAAUCAGCAGAUGCUGUAACCAUGCACCUGUUCAUUUCCUGCACUGCAGAACCACCAUUGUGCCAUACUACUUUCAGAUACUCAGGAACUGCUACUUGGCCAGGAAGUGGUGCAAGAGUGUGACAUCUCAAAGGGACGAUAGACUGAUAGUGUUUGCUCAAUCUUUCUCACAACUCGGACCUUGACACCGCCCAUACUUCAGAGGGUAGCAUUGGGUUGGACUGGCAAAUAGUGAAUCAAUGGCCUGCAGCUGAAGUAGGGGGAAUGAGUAGCAUUGGUGCCAGCUCCCAAGGUGGUGAGGUCAUACAGGUUUGUGCAGGAGAUUCAGAUGAACACUCUGAAUGGAGCUGCACUGAAAAGUAUGGUAGGCAUGCACAUUGAUAUAUCAGUCAAGGAGCACGGAAAAGCAAUUGGGUAUCGGGCAGUCACAUGGAAUCCGAGCAUUGGAUGCUCAGACUGAGAAGCUGCAAUCUUAGUUUAUUGCUCAAUUUGUGUGCCCAAUUGCUGCCCAUGUCAACAUUCAAAGGGGCUUGCAAAGUUUCACAGCAAUCCAGUAAUCAUCAACACAUAACUAGGACAGCUAAGGCAUCAUCCCAGGGGAAAUGACACUCUCUUUGGGACACAAACCUGCUGAACUCUCUCAGGAUAGUAGCAUUUGUUCUACUGUCAGUGUCACUCUGUCAAUGCCCUUGCCAUUGCCCAUCAGACUGCUUCCAGAUUGCUACCCUCCAGGUUAAAAUGGUGCAGUCCAAAGCUGGACCAGUGAUGAGGGGGUGGGGAAGGGUGAGUUGUGGACAUGAUUGCUGAUGGGGUAUUGGGGUUGCAUUCAUUGGCAGUGCAUUGAUUAAGUGCUAAUGGACAUCCCAGCCAAAGUAGGUGUGUUGAUUGCCUUCCCCACUAAGUGGUUCUUUCUCUUCCCUAUGCUCUGCUGACUGGCAUGUAUUUGGUGAUCACAAGGUGUAGAGCUGAACAUAGCAGGCCAAGCAGCAUCAUAGGAGCAAGAAGGCUGACGUUUCGGGCCUAGAAGGGUCUAGGCCUGAAACGUCAGCCUUCCUGCUCCUAUGAUGCUGCUUGGCCUCCUGUGUUCAUCCAGCUCUACACCGUGUUAUCUCAGAUUCUCCAGCAUCUGCAGUUCCUACUAUCUCUGAUGUAUUUGGUGACAUGGGUUGCAUCUCCAUGUUGGUGAAGUUGCAUGGAAUAAGCAGACCACAAUGAAUCAUAACACAUGCCAAUACUAUAGGGCUCUGCCAGUGUACAAUCCAGCCUUAAGAAGUAAGUUUUGGGCAAUUUGAAGAUAUUUCCUGUGACAGCAUGACUGACAUUUGUAUGCUAUCCAUGUGUGGUUUGAUUGCGCACUGCAGUCAUGAUCAUAGAAACUAGGAGCAGGGGUAGGCCAUUUGGCCCAUUGCUCCAUUAUUCAAUGUGGUCAUAGCUAAUCCUCUAUCUCGACUCCAUAGUCCCUCUCUGUGCAAGACCCUUGAUGCCUUUGGUAUCUAUAAAUAUAUCUGCUACUUUCUUAAAUAUAUUCAGUGACUUGGUCGCAGUCUUCUGUCAUACAAAAUUCCAUAGGUUCACCACCCUCUGAGUAAAGAAAUUUCUCCACCUCAGUCACAAAUAGACUACGCCAUAUCCUGCAAAAUUCCUUGUUGUGGGCACCCCAACCAGGGGAAACAUCAAUUCUGCAUCCAGUCCUCACAUAAUUUAUAUGUUUCAAUGAGAUCUCCUCUCAAUCUUCUAAACUCCAGUAAAUAUAGGCCCAGUCAGCCUAAUCUCUCCUAAUACAAUGAACCUGCCAUCUCCAGAAUCAAUUUGAUGAAUGUUCACUGCAUUCCCUUCAUGGAAAGUAUUUUUUUUCUUAGGUAAGUAGACCUAAACUGCACACCAUACUCCAGGUGUGGUCUCACUAAGGCCCUGUCCAGCUGCAGUAAGGUCUUACACUCAAACCUCCUCACAGUAAAGGCCAGUAUUCAAUUUGCUUUCCUUGCUGCUUGCUGCACGUGCAUGUUUGCUUUCAGUCACUUGUGUGACACCAGAUCCUCUUGUAUAUCAACAUUUCCCAAUCUAUCACCAUUUAAACAAUACUUGGCUACUCUGUUUUUCCCACCAAAAUGGCUAACUUCAUACCUAUCCAAAUCAUAUUAGGUUAUAUAAAUUCUGACAGGCCUGGUCAGACUGGUUGCAGAAUUGAUGUUUCCCCUGGUUGAGGCGUCCAGAACAAGGAAUUAUUUUACAUUUGCUAUGUAUUUGAUCACAUACUCAAUUUAUCUAAGUCACUGUGAAGCCUCUUUACGUCCACCUCACCAUUCACAAUCCCACCUGGUUUUGCAUUGUCAGCAAACCUGAAAUUAUUAGAUUUGAUCCCUUCAUCCAGUCAUUGGUAUUGGAGAGCUGUGGUCCAAGCACUGAUCUAGACUAGAUUUUUAGACUUUGUGGUACAUCCACUCUGAUAAAAGACCCACAUACUUCUGUUUCUUGUCUUCUAAUGAAUUCUCAAUCCACGGUAAUAUAUUACCACUAAUCCCAUGUGCUUUGAUUUAUACACUAACCUCUUAUAUGUCACCUUAUCAUAAGCCAAGCACAUCACAUCCGGUUGUUUUCCUUUAUCUGUUCUACUGGUUAUGUCCUCAAAAAUUUCUGGUAGGAUUGCUGAACGUGAAUCCUUCUUGCCUUUAUCUAACCCUAUUGGUAUUUUCUAACUGCCCCGUUAUCAAAUCCUUUAUGAUAGAUUCUGGCACUUUCCCUACCACUGAUCUUAGGCUAAUCAAUCAGUAAUCCUUCAUUUUUGUCUGCCCUUUUUUUUAAAUAACGGGGCUAUUUUUCCACCCCCUAACUUGCCUCUGUAAAGCCCUGGUCAGCUAGCAGUCAGUCCCUGGUUCGACAGGGUGACUGAUGAAACAAUAGAUUGGCGUAGAAUAAAGGAAUGAUGGCUAAUGCUGGAUAUCAGGUAUUCACUGAUGUACUAGCUUAACAAUAAUAGAUUGCAUGUGUGCAAAUAAAAAGCAAGACUCUUCUACAUUUAAAGCACAUUAGUGCACUUGCAUGAAGCAUGAUUUAAAAGUCUGAAAUGAUGCCUGAUUUACUGCACUUUUGCAGUGAGUUUAUCUAUUGAAUGGUUGAUUCCAGACCAGAUUUUUGGUCCUGUUUCUAAACUGUGCUGAACUAUUUGUUCUUAUGGUAUCGUAACAUAAGGUAACAACUUGCAAUUAUAUAGUGCCUUUAACAUACUAAAACAAUCCUUGACUUCUUCACAGGAGUGGUCAGAAUAAAGACAGAAUAUGACACUGACCCAAAUAAUGCAAUAUUAGGACAGAUGAUCAAUCAAGUGUUUGUCAAAGAUUUAAAGAAUGACUUAAAAGUGGGGAAAGAGGAAGAGAGACAGUGUGCUUUAGGAAAGGAAUUCUAACUGAAGAGUAAAUAGACUCUUCAUUAACUGAUUAGAAGAUUCUUGAAUGUUAUUUAAACAGCCUUUAUCCUCAAGUUCAAUACUUUUUUAUAAUUAGUAAAGAUUAACAUUCAUUUAAAAAUGACUUUUUAAAAUUUUUUUAUCCUGUUGUGAUAAUUUGUCUUCAACCCAUGGAGAGUUGGCUGUGCAUGAUAAUGUGCCUGUAGUAAAACACCUCAACAGCAACACCAUUGAAUCAUGUUUCCUUUAUGAUAAUUAAGUGGAGACUUCUCUCGAAGCAACUGUUUAGCUCCAUUGUGAUGGAGUCUGCCUGCCCCUAGUGGCAGAAGUAUCAGGAGAUUUAUUCCAUUGAGCUCUGCUGUGAUGUCAGCAUGAAACAGCCCAUAAAGUGUUCAGUAUGAAACUGGAUGAAGUAUGAUUGAGCUUCAAAGACAAGAAGUCACAUUGAAUGAAGUAAACAUCCCAAUGCACUCAGCAUAAGAGCUGUCAAAUAAUACUGACAGUGAGCUAAAUGGAUAUUACAGCAGAUUAUUAAAAGCUUGACCAAAGGCAUGGAUUGUAUCUUCUAGCUGGAAACAGAGGCAGAAAAUAUUGGGGAGGAAAUUGCAGACCUUGGGGCUUGGCUGCUGAAGGCGUGAAGACCUUAGUAGUGUGGUUACAAUCAGAAUCACGAGAGAGUCCAGAACUGGAGGAAGGCAGGUGUGUUGGAGAGCUGUGAGGCUGGAGGAGGUUACAGAGAUAGGGAGGGGGGUGAGGUCAUGGAGGAUUUGAAAACAAGGUUGCAAAUUUUAAAAUCAAGGCACUUUUGACAGGGAGUCAAUUUAGACUGGUGAGCAGAGGGAUGGUCUUUGAAUGGAACUUGAUCCAAGUUAGGAUAUGGGCAACAGAAUGUUGGAUAAGUUUACGAUCCAAAGUAGGAGGCAGUCAGGAGAGCACUGGAUUGGUUAAAUUUCAAUCUAACAAAGACAUGCCUGAGGGUUUCAGCAGCAGCAGAGCUAAGGUGUGUGGAGACAUGCAAUCCUGUGUAGGAGGAAGUUACAUGAUCACAAACCAGGAUAUGGGUUUCUGUAGUUCAUCUGAAGGUCAGAAGGAACACUAAGUUUGCGAAGGGGCUAGUUUAGUCUCAUACUGGCCAUAGACAAUGUUGGAAUUUGGAGAAUAAAGUUUAUCAAUGCCAUAUGCACACAUUAUUUAGGAGCAGUAGGAAGCCAUUUGGCCCCUGAAGUCUGCUCCAUCAUGUAAUAUAAUCAUGGCUGAUCAGAUUGUGACUUCAAUUCCACUUUCCUGUCUACCCCAAUAGAUUCUACCAUGGAAUAACAGACAUUUCUUUUUAGAUUACAAGGAGAGGGUGAGUGUGCCUUGCUUCCCUGUUGGGUUUUGUUGGAACUUGUCAGGAAAGAGCUAGCAGAUUGACUGAAUACCUCCCUCUCACCAAUGACAAUUGGUAGUGCAAUACAACUCGAUAUUGAGUGAGCUGGAUGUUAAACUACAAUUUAAAAUUUUCCAUAAUUGCAGUUACAACAAGAAGAUGAAUAUUAGUGUGAGCCAGCGUUGUGGAGACAAACUGGUUGGCUGCUUUGAGGAACAUGUCCCUUCAGUCCACAAACGUGACAUUUCAUUUCAUUUUAAUUCUCUGCCUAGGUUUUACUCUUUCCGUCCUUUGUGUACUGCAAUGUGCCAUUUUACAUUGAUGCAAGUUCAAGGAACGGUUUAUCCUCUUGAUUAGAUACUUUACAACCCUUUGGAUUCAUUACUGAAUUCAAUAAUUUUAGAAUGGAAUCUCUGCUCCUGUAAUAUUUUGUUUCUCUUCCCUGGUUUUUUUUUUGUUACGCUCAUCUUACUUCCUUUUCAUUUCAUUUCUUUGUUUGCAGACAGCAAGAUGUACAAUCUUACCAUUUACACUUCUUCCUGGAUCCAUUUUUUGUAUCUUUUCUUCUCCCAUUAACACUUCCUUUGGCUUUGCAUUAUGGAACAUUUUCUCAUUUAAUCUUUCCUGGCCCCACCUAUUAUACAGCUUCCCAUUGAUUCUUCUUCUUUCUCACUCAAAACCUAUUACAUUUCUAACUUUUCCCAAUUCUAAUGGAAGGUCAAGGACCUGAAAUGUUAACUGUAUUUCUCUCUCCACAGAUGCUGCCAGAUCUGAGCAUUUCCAACAAAUUUGGAUUUUAGUUCAUAUUUCCAGCAUCCACAUUUUUUGUACUAAUACAAGUUUGUUCUACUACAUAUGACAUGCAAUAAUGAUAAACCUAUCAAUUAUGGCUAUUGUCUUAACUGCGGUCUUAUGUUAAGGGAAAAAGGCAUGGUCCCAAACUUAACAGAAGUAAAUGAAUUUAGUUGAAAUAAAGGAACAACCAAGACAAGAAAGGACAAACAAUGAAUUAGCAAUAAUUUAUAAUUGAUUUUUUUUUUUCUUUGAUUUCUUUACCUUUUAAUAUGUGUGUAGAUUUUUUUUAUUCAGUUAUGGAAGCUAUUUAGGUGGACUGACAAAGAAACAAUGACAUCAAUGCAAAAGAAUUUAGAGGGAUUUUUUAAAUGAGGGGAUGGUGGACAUAUUAUGAUGGAAUGUUAGAGAAAGACAAGGUGGCUUCCUGAUUUUAAUUAAGAUAUAAAAAUUAAAACAGGUGCACAAGAGACUCUUGUAGUGCAGUGGUAGGGUCCCUACCCCUAAACUAUGAAGCCCAGGUUCAAGACCUACCUGCUCCAGAGGUAUUUAAUAGCAUUUCUGAACAGGUGGAUUAGAAAAUAUCUAGAACAGUGUCAGGUUCCACUAUGCUGUUGAUAUCCAACUUUACUGGACCAUUAAAUCUCAGAAUUCCUUCUGUCUCACAAAAUUUUCCUUUUUGAUAUCCAGUUCUGAAUGAACAGAAAUUACCUCCAACUAAAUAAUGGGAAGAUGGAAACCAUUGUUUAUGUUCCCAACUCAAACUCUGUUCCCUGCAACACCUUCUCUCCUCCCUGGUGACUGUCUAAGGUUAAGCCAUGCUGUUUGCAAACACUAUCAUAUUUAAUUCUGAGCAUGGGGGUGCAGUACACUGUGAAAAUCGAUAUAUCAAGGUGACCAUGCAGAAAGAAGCUGUUGGUCAUGUGUUAAAAUCUCCAGGAAUACAUCCAAUUAGAUUUCAGAAUCCUAAAAUUAGUGUGCCAACAAUUGCAAUUUAUAGGUGGACCAGCCAUACAGGAAAUGAGGAGGCUCCUGUAUUAUUUCCAAGUAGUGUGUUACAUGGCACCCUCCUUUCUUUGUAAUAAUCUGUUUUGCAGGAUCCAGGCUGCCUCUUACAUGUAUCAGAGCUCUACACACGCAAUAAUUUAUUUAAAAUCACAGAUGGCAAUUUUUUGUGUUCAAAACUGAGAAAUUGCUUUUUCAGAUUUUGGCUGGCUGUCACUCUGAUAAAGCACAAUAAAUCACUGCUUCUGUGUGAAACAGAAAAUCACUAGAUUAUUGUAAAAGUGUCAGUAGUUGGUGGUAGAUGCUGUUGAAGAUGCCACUAAUGAAUCAGUGGGAUACAGAGCCCCAUUUCCUGUGUAGGGACCUGAAAACCAAAAUCAGUUUCAAGUAGUAAAGGACUGUCAUCAUUAAUACUAAAUGGGGGUGUGGACUGUUGCUUUUGGGCAGUGCAGUUGAAGUCCUAACUAAUUGCUGCAUAAAAAGGAUUUCCUCAGGUCAGCAUUGUUUUUUUUUUUGCCAAUCAGUUUCCUCUGGUUUUUGGCCAUUUAGCCAUUAGAACAAUUUCUCUCUAUCAAUCCUGUUAAGGCCCCACAUUAUUUUGAAUCUCUAUCACACCUCUCAAACUUUUACUCUCCAAAUUGUAUAGAUGAUUUGAGUCCUUCAUUCUUAGCACUAUUCUUUCCAACAGUUAGGCAAAACUAGUCACAGACUGGCACAACAGUGGGACAAUUGACCAUGCGGACAUUUGGGGCCAUCACCCUGCAUGUGUUUUCUUACUUUCUCCAUACUUAUCUCUGAAACGUGGGCAAGUUUGUGUUACAUUUUUUGAUGUAUCAAGCAAAACUUUCAACAUUGGCAGGAAAGCAAAACAGGCACUAUUACAUCACCUGCCCAAUAUGCACCAUAUUAGAUCACGUACUUGAUAAUAUACCAUUUCAGAUUUUCCUUUUAAUAGAACUCGAGGCAUGGAAGAGCAUGUGUUUAAACUAAACAGUUAGUCCAUAUUGUUAGUUUACACUCACAAGAAAUUUGCAAGUUUUCAGUGGGUGUUACUUUAUUUUAGUAAAGAGUGUAUUUGUGAAAACAAUUUUUGGCUCCCUCCCUUCAUCUCAUUUGAAAUUAGCACUCUUGAUCCCAUUCAAUCUUACUGCCCUAGUCUCCAUGUUUUUAAAUCCAGGUGGCUUUUCCUGGGCCAUGUUAUUCCCGAGGUGUUCUUUUGCGCCCCGUGCAGGGCCUCUGAAUGUUCUGCCAUUCUGCAAAACUUGGACAACAUGGCUAUUGGUUGAGCCUUUCUGAACCAUCUCCCAGGGUGCACUCACUCUUUUUAUCUUUAUAGGCCUGCUCUUGGCCCUUUGACUUCUGGUGAUUUUCAUUCCUGACCAUGUUAAUCCAUUAAACUCGGAUUUCACCUGAAACUCCAAUGGCUUUCUGUCAAUUUAUGGGCUGUCUUUUUUUUUAGCAUGAUCAGAUUCUCUUUAGCACAGGGUAGUUGAACAUAACCUUUCCGGUUACUUACUUCGCAGAUUCGUUAGACUGUUCUCAAUUUUUGGGAUACAGAAACUGGGACUUCACCAAGCCAUUUCCUUAUUACUUAAUGUCUGUCUAUCAUGUUUUGAUCUGCUUUUGAGCUUGCCUCUUGAGUUUUCAAUUUCAUCUCCAGCAUCUUUUGUUGGAAAGCUUGUUUUUCACUACCUCUCUCUUUCAACCUUUCCAGCUCAAUCUGCCAUUUUACAGUAAAGGUUAUUAAUUUAGUUGUAAGACUCCAAUCGGUUCUUGGUUCUGAUUCAGUCUGAUUUGAAUAUUGAUUAAAGUGUAACUGCCCAAAGUUUCAGAAAUACCUCUGGUCUCUGUCUCGGGAGGUAGUUUUUUAUAUGUGUCUGUCUACAAUGUAGUAAUUCAGUAGCAAAAGCAGGAAAGCAGAUUAUUAUCUGAAUGGCAAUUAGAUCGGGAAUGCUGCAGGUGCAAUGAAACCCGAGAGUACUUGUACACCAAUUGCUGAUGGUAAGCAUGCAGAUGCAGCAGGCACUGAAGAAGGCAAAUGGAAUGUUGGCUUUCAUAGAAAGAUGAUUUGAGUACAGGAGCAAGGAUGUCAUUGGAGAGGAAGCAGAUGUUAAUGUUUUGGGUCCAGUGACCCUUAUUCAGAACUGAUUGUAGCUAGGAAAAUGUUGGUAUAUAUGCUAAAGAAACGAUGGGAGGUGGGGGAAGGAGUAAGUGGUAGGUGGUGAUGGAGCCCAGAGAGAGAGAAGCAGACAAAGGAAUAGGUAAAGGUUAGUCUGAGAGAAUGAAUAGCUGCAAAUGGGAUCCAUUAAUAGCCUCCAAUGGGUUGUAAGUGGUGUCAGCCCAUGUGUUGAUAAGGCCUAGUGUAUGGGGAUUGGAGUAAGGACCAGGUAGAACGUGCUCAUGCCUUAAAAUUAUUGAAUUCAAUAUUGAGUCCAGAAGGCUGCAGGGUCCCCAAGCAGAAAAUGAGGUAAUGUUCAUCCAGCUUGCGUUGAGCUAUGCUGGAGCACUGCAACAAGCACAAGACAGAUGUUGGCCAGGGAUCAGGGUGGUGUGUUGAAAUCUCAAUGGUCCUAGGAUUUGAGAAGCUAGGGUUCUGAUAGUUAGCUGUUUCUUUUCUACACCCACCUUUGCAAUGUUAUUUAACUUAUUGCUGUGAUGUUAGGUGAAGAGAGCUUGCUGCUGUACUUCAUUUUUAUCUAAAAGAUAACCUCAGCCGCUGAGUUUUUCCUCUUGCUUCCUAUUGAUUGCUUUUUACUAACCAAUUUUGUCUUGUUUCUAAAUUUGGACUCUGCUCACUUUGGUACACUAGUCAAAUUGUCGGGCUUUUUUAUUGGAUCCAAUCUGCAUGUGAGAUACCAAGUUCUGUCAUGGUCAAGAGGGAGAGGUGAAUUAAAUUUUAUUUAUUUUUUAGUCCUCUCCUGUUUGCUACAUUUGGUUUCAUAAUCUUUCUCAUUUUUUUUCGAAAGUUUAAAAAAGAUGUGUUUCACAAUUGUGCUUUGAAAUCCAAUUGAUAAUGACCCACAACAAAGAUCUCCGGCUUAAAGCAAAAGGUUUAUAACUCCAUUCAAAAUCUAUGGAGAAUGGUUUGCAAUGCACAUUCUCAUCAAUGCAUAUCAAGAAAAUAAAAGGAAAGGAAAGAAAUUACUCAUACUUAAAAUCCAAUAUAUCAGAAUUGGUUCAGGUGAGUUAAUGUUCAGCAUGUCAUUGUCCAAUGGAAUUUCCUUCAAUUGGCUGUGUCCAGAAGUCCCUUUCAUAGGGACUGAGAUGCAGUUGAAUUGAUGGUAGAGGUGCAAUAAUUGUACAUUAGGAAAUUAUUCAAAUUCAUGGGCAAAAUACAGGAUUCUUUCCAUGAAAAAAAACAUGCCUUAGUUAAAUUGCUUACUCUCAUAUUUUGUAAGCUUACUGGUAAAUUAAGAGGAAAAUGCUGCAAUUAAAGGUCAUUCAAACAAAAUAGUGAUUUCAACCACCUAACUGCAGCUUUCAGCUUAGUUUAGAUCGCAACUCAUCUAGUUUUGAAGUCUUAGGUAAAACUUAGUGUUUUGUGGCAGAUAACUGUGGAGUCACUAGUAACAAGACAAAUAAUUAUGGGUUUUGAUAGUGACCUUUGUUCAGAGGCUGAGGCAGACAUGUUAUUUACUAGUUCUUUGUGUUACCUUGGCUCGGAUGCCUAUAUGAUGCAAGGACUGUGACACUACAAAAGGAAGAUGUAAGAUUUUGUUACCCUGGUUAUUGGUGAUCAAAGAGUGUAGUCAACUGGUAUCAGGUGAUCAUUAGUAACCGUAGUGUCAGUGUAGCAUGAUGUCCAUCUUUAAAAAAUUAAACAAGAUUAUACCUUUGUGUAAAAACAAAGGAUCUUGCUCUUCCUGCCUUUUGAGUAUUACACUACCAAGGGCACAAUGUAUUCCAAGUGAGUGAUUUAAGUGUUCAUUACCAAGAAUGCCUCAUUGUACCACUAAUGAACAAGGUGCCAGUUCCUAAGGAUAUAACUGCCUGACUAGGCUGGAGGCAGAUAGAUGGUGGCCACAACAGGGAAAACAUUUUUGACGUCACCUUUGCCUACAACACCCACAUCCUGACAAAACCAGCACUUGUUGCCCUUCAGAAAGUGGUAGUGAGUUGUGACCUCAACUCCUGCAGUCCAUGUGGAUUCACCAGGUCAUGCCUUUCUGUGUUUGUAUAUUUCAAAUCCAUCAAUCACUAUUAAACAGUUAAGCACACAUUAGUGUCCAUUUCUAUUCUGUUGCAGCCUCUAGCGAACAUUUUUGGUAGCAAGUUACUAAAAGUUAUAAAGAGGAAUAAAUAUUGAAUAAAUGCAUGGCCACAAGAAGAAACAGAUUACCUGAUAUGGCUGACAGUGGAGAAAUUUCAUGAAUGUUUCACCUGUGAUUAACAUCAAAAAAUCCUUUCGGAAGCAAUACAGAAGUAGCUUGAAAUUCUAAAAUACAUUAUUUUUUGAAAAAGUGUGGACUGUGCUUUAAUCAAGAAUAUUUCAGAAUUUAGUAACGAGUACACAGAAAUUAUUCACUUUUUAAAAACAUGUCCCUGUAAUGAUUCCUGUAUAUUCACCCCACCAAGGUCAUUUUGCAACGUUGUAAAUGAUGUUGCAAUUUCAGUAGCUUUAAUGAGGCAGCAUAAUCAUGAAAUUUUGGAGUGGCUUAAAUAGUGGACUUUUUUUUCUAAGAAAUUACAGUGUUCGUGAUUAUUAAUGGUGUGCACAAUAGUUGCAGCAUUUCUACAGUAAUGUUGUUCUCUGUGCCAGUAAAUUAGAUGCAGAGGUUUGCACGCAUGGCUACUGACAGCCAAGUAGUUUUUUUUUGUUCUCUACGAGGUGUUCAUUUUUAUUGAUAUUCUCUUCCAAUGCAUAGCACAAGCAAUGAAUGCAAAUUAUGUGCCCACAAGUCCACUAUAAACUUAAAUGUGUUAAGAGAUCUGAGUAUGUAGAAGGUAGGAUUUAAUCCUACUUUCAGAUAACUCAGAUCCCUCUUCCUUUGUAGGUGUUGAUACCUUGCAGAAGUACAGUUGCAUCUAUAUUUGAUAGUUCCUGGAGCAUCCCCUCCAAGUGCUCAUUCUUUGUUUGAGUCUUGACAAUGCAAAUUGGCUAUUCAAUCAUUUGAACAUUGUAGCUGUGCCAAAUGCUAUGAAUAAACCAUAUGUAUUUCAAUAGGGGAUGAUUAGGAGUCUUAACCUGGAGAACAUCUGCUAGCACCACUUGACCCUUAGCCAAACUUUUCCAACUGAGUACUGGAUGGAAAUGAAACUUAAAACCUUCUGUCCAUCUGACUCAGCUUCUCACUGUAUCACUCAACCAAAACUUGCCAAAUCUCGUGCUUAGACAGAACAUUUUUGCUUGUUUGUUUCAGACAAAUCUGCUUUCAAUUCUUGCAGAAUUUAGUUUCAUCUAUUUUCACUUCUUUCUGAAGAUGCUUAUCAUACUGGGCUACUAUUUCACAGAAUCUAAGUGAUGUCCAAUAUCCCACCUGAAAGAAAUUCUUUGAUUGAAACUGAAACUAGUUACUUUGAUUAUGGAGACUGAGUGCAGACUAAAGCUAUCAAUUAAUAGUAGAUGUCCAGAAUCUCAAUUUGGACUGUCCUAGUCUGUAUCUACUGGCUAAUGUUAAUUAUUUUAUAUAAAGUACAAUGUCCCUUGUAGACUUGUAACAAUUAUCACAACUGAUAACUUACCAACUAUAGUAAAAUGACAACAUUCACAGUAGCUACAAAAGCAAUCCUGUAGAAUAAUUUUAAAUGGAGCCACAUCUAUCAUUGCCAGUGAUGGUAGUGUUAGUGAAAGGUAUGUUGCAAUUUCCUCACCCAAUAAUGUAGCUCUUGUUCUGAUUUGAUUCAUGAUAAGUCAUUAGAAUCAAAUUUUUAAAGACCUGAAACAUUUCCUCUAAAUCCGAUUAUCCUACAUGUUGCAAUUCAAUGUACAAAUUCUGUCAUGCCUAACUCAUUGAACUUAGUUUAGAAAUCUUGCUUUUUUGCUCUUAUUUGCAUCUUUUUAUGUAAGGGUAGGGGACACAGCACUCUAGAUGAGAUCUUACUAAAUAACAUACAUAUUAUCAUGGUAUUUAGUUUUGUACUGACAUGCCUGGGUAAUAUGGCUCAAAAUGCUCCCUACCCCACUGCAGGACCUGCAGUUGCUUGAUCCUCUGAAGUUUGUAGGGAGGUGAGAGAACCAAUGAUCACUAUGUCCCUUUGAAAACAGUUCUGAUACACACCCACUCUAUCCCUAAUUGAUAUUGCAGUUGCUAACAGGGACGAUGGCCAAAUGGCCGUUUUCCAUGCUGUGAGACUUGUGUGAUUUACCAUGAAAUUUCCAUUGUGUUUGGUCCUUUUUCAAAGUUCUUUUUAGUUGAUAAGAUAAA